GGGCAUUUUUGGGAAGAAUUAGAUGGUUUCUCCGCCCCUUCCCCUGGAGCACGGAGCGACGUGUCAGCCCCACAGGGUGCCGGAGAGGGCCGGCGGCGUGGACGGGCCGGGGAGACGUGGCACCGAGGCAUCUUCCCCAGCCACUUCUCUGAACUGAUGUCUUCAAAAUGAAGAGCAAGAAUGAAGGUGAGGAGGUCCUUACCUGCGAAGGUGAAAAUGAAGAACGCCUUGGAUAAAUCAAGAAAUGCAAGGAAUAGAAAUAAUAGGAAAUAUUUAUAACUCUGGUCUCUUAAAUAGGCCAGAAUUUGGACUGAAUUUAUGAAAAGUUACAAAGCUACAUAGAAUCAAUUACAUUUGAAUCCAGAUUCAGGAAUUUUUUAUUUAAUACAUUAUAAAGAUAUCAGUAUGUCUUUACCUCUCCUUUGGAUGAUAAUGCAUUCUGUUGUCUUCAGCCUUGCACAGAUUUCUUAUAUAGGUUAAUUUAAUUUCACCUUAAUUUUUUAGUUGUUAAACCCAAGACACCUCCUUACAUCAAGCUAGGGUGUGAAUUUAGCAAUCCAUUAGUUGGUUCCUCUUGUCUGCAGGUCCAUGAUCAUUAAUAGUGGAACCCUGUGUUUCUAUGUCACCAGCAGUACGAGUGGGAUUUGGACAAGGGGUACAUACAUAUGAACUUAUCACUGACAGAUGUUGAAAGCACAUAAUAUAGAGCUUAAUUAGACUUCAGGCUUUUGUGCUGGUCAUUUAGGGGCAGUGUGGGUAGAGACGAUACUUGGCAUAACUUCUGCCUUCACAGAAUUAGAACAUCACAAAUUUUAGAAGAGAUCCUAACCAGCUGUGUAGCCCUCAUUCUCAGGCAGUAUUUCUGUGGCACUCUGAUGAAGCAUUAAUAGCCCUAAAUCUGAUAUCACCCAUGAAAGCACACCAAACAAGCAGUGAGCGGCAGGCAACUAGGAGCACUGUGUGGAAUGGGACAGCAGCAAUGGAGGUUACAGGUCCAAUCCUAGUGAUAUUUUCCACUCUUGCUCCUACACUCUGUUCAGUUGCCUGUAAGGAAAAAAUAAAUAAAUAAACUGGGUGCACUGGGUGAUCCUAAUUCUAGUGCUACCUAACACUUGAGUGUUUGACUUCUUGCCCUUAGCAUUCUGCUAACAUCAGAUGUUGGGUAUGAGUUGAAUUAUUAAAUUCACUUAAUAUUGCUUUCCAUAGCCUGAAACAGUUGUAAUUAUCAACAUUAUUUAAAUCAGAUACAUUGUAUUCAAAAUGUUUUAAUUGAUUUUCUUUGUAUUUUGGUUAAUAAAAACUGCUCCAU